GUGCUCGCUUCGGCAGCACAUAUACUAAAAUUGGAACAAUACGGAGAAGAUUAGCAUGGCCCCUGCGCCAGGAUGACACACAAAUUCGUGAAGCGUUGUAUAUUUUU
ensembl:snRNA U6 U6 spliceosomal RNA